rnacentral:rRNA from 1 species
GGACGGGUGAGUAACACGUGGGCAACCUACCUGUUAGACGGGGAUAACUCCGGGAAACCGGGGCUAAUACCGGAUGACGCAUUGAACCGCAUGGUUCAAUGAUGAAAGAUGGCUUCUAGCUAUCACUAACAGAUGGGCCCGCGGCGCAUUAGUUAGUUGGUGAGGUAACGGCUCACCAAGGCGACGAUGCGUAGCCGACCUGAGAGGGUGAUCGGCCACACUGGGACUGAGACACGGCCCAGACUCCUACGGGAGGCAGCAGUAGGGAAUCAUCCGCAAUGGACGCAAGUCUGACGGUGCAACGCCGCGUGAGUGAUGAAGGUCUUCGGAUCGUAAAACUCUGUUGUUAGGGAAGAACACGUGCUGUUCGAAUAGGGCAGCACCUUGACGGUACCUAACCAGAAAGCCCCGGCUAACUACGUGCCAGCAGCCGCGGUAAUACGUAGGGGGCAAGCGUUGUCCGGAAUUAUUGGGCGUAAAGCGCGCGCAGGCGGUUCCUUAAGUCUGAUG